GAAGCAUGAGUGAAAUCAAAAAGUGAAGAAGAAGCUCCUUAAUGAGUGAAUGAUUAAUGCUUAUAUAGAAUUAGGUGAGGGAUGAUUAGAGGUUUAAAAUUGAUUAGAAAUUAGUUGGGGUUGUUUUGGGCACUUUGGGCAAUUGCUCAAAGUGGUUAGAAGUUAGUUAAUGGGAGUUUAAGGUAGUUAGGAUAGUUAAAGCAUGGAUGUAUGUGAAUUUGCAUGCAUGUGCAUAUGUUGAAUUUUUAGUGAAUAUGUGGGAAAUUGAAUGAACUUACAUGAAAUCACUUGAACACAUGUUUGGGUAUUUAUAGUGUAUAAAUGAAUGACUUAUAGAUGCAUUUGGAUUGAUGUUCAUCGAUGAAAUCAUGUAUUACAUGAAUGCUGGAAAAAAAAUUAAUGCACAUGAUUUAUGAGGUUUUACUUGUUGUAUAGAAGUGAAAUGGAAGUGAUACAUAGUGUGGAAUUUAUAUUCAUGGUAUGUGCAUAACAUGCUGAGUUUUUAUUGAAUUUGACUUGUUUUUUAAUGGUUUUGUAUAUGAUGUGAAUGUAUGUGCAUGUGUUGAAUUUUAGAAGUAAAUUGUAUGAAUUUAAGAUGACUUUUCAUGUGUAUUUG
rnacentral:lncRNA from 1 species